rnacentral:tRNA from 1 species
AAGGGAGACCUAAUUCCGGUAGGAGACGAAAAAAAAGUAGUCCCAACCAAGAAUCAAUCCCAAAAGGUCGGAACGAGGUAUGAGGCUUUCAAACUAGGUUCUGGGUUCAUAAAAGACCUGAGUCAGGAACAAGGGCUAUUAGCUCAGGUGGUUAGAGCGCACCCCUGAUAAGGGUGAGGUCCCUGGUUCGAGUCCAGGAUGGCCCACCUGCACAGGUGGCAAAAACAAGAGAAGCUCCGAAUCAGCACCUUAUCUUAUAUACAUAUAUAAGAGAGAAUGCUGGCUCUGAGUACAGAGUCCAGAGGAACCUUGAAAACUGCAUAGAGCUAGGUGAAAAAGCCAAAAAAGAAGACCGCAA